CAGAUAUCGCAGCUCCUUAUCACCUGAAAGUGCCGAGGCAUUGAUAACAACUCGUGAUUGGAUAUAUGGAAUCGGAGCUGCAUCAACUGAUGUUGAGGAAGUGAAAGAUAAUGAUAUUAGUGAGGAUGUAUUGGCAUUUGAGCCAGCAAACAACAAUGAGGCAAUUCAUACUGGAGCAUCUUGAAGUGAUACACUUCUAGACACAAAAUUACAAAGAUACAUGGAAAAAGAACAUUUUUUGGGCACUGAUUUAGGAAAUAUUUUGGACUUCCA